rnacentral:lncRNA from 1 species
GUGGUUUUCAAAAGAUCCCUUCGAAGUUACAUAUUGAUAAGCUCAUUACAAACUCAACUCAUUAUUUUCACUACUAUCUUGUAGGCUAAGUACCUAUCAUAUAUAAUUAGAACCUCAUGAAAAUAAAAAAAAUCCACAUAAAAGAUGAAAAUACUACCAAAUAUAAGCCUCAACAUGCCACUACUUUCAGAAAAUCAUUGCUACUGGCUGGGCGUGAUGGCUCAUGCCUGUAAUCCCAGCUACUCGGGAGGCUGAGGCAGGAGAAUCACUUGAACUUGGGAGGCGGAGGUUGCAAUGAGCAGAGAUUGCACCACUGCACUCUAGCCUGGUGACAAGAGCGAGACUCCGUCUCAAAAAAAAAAAAAAAAAGCAUUGCCACAGAAACAGAGCUUAGAUUCCCCCAAAAUCUAGCUGGGUAAGAGAAACCCCUUCAUUUCUAUGUAUAAGUAAAGGAUGAGUAAGAAUUAGUUCAGUGAAGGAGAAUUAAAGGGGAGAAGGAUCAUUCCAAGCAGAGUUCCAGGACAUAAGUAAGGUCAAAGAAAGGAAUGCUCUUGUAGGUUUGAAAGUAAUUACAUAUGGCUCAACCGGAAAGGUUGAGAGGAAAAUGGCGAGAGUUAAGGCUGGAGGGGUGAACUGGAGAUAAUUAUUAAGCCCUGCAUUUUAUGUUAAGGAGUAAAGACUUUAUCCUGAGAGAAAUGGGGAGCUACCAGCAUGCAUCAGAUGAGGCAGAACAAGAUCAUUUUCUGCUUUAGAAAGAUCAUUCUGGCUGCAAGACAAAGAACGGAGGAGGGCAAGGCUAGGAGGAAGAUGUGCUAGAUAUUUUCUGUUUGCAUCUCCAGAAUACAGAAAAUGUAUUCUGCAUCAUUGGACAAUCUACUCCACAGAUAACCAGAAAAUUACAAUACAGCACAGGAAGUUCCAUGGCAAAGGAAAGCAAAAGGGGCUGUGGAUUCCCAGAGGAGGUGCCUAACUGAGCUUGGUGGACAGAGGAGUACAAAGAAUAGCAUAUGCAGAGGCUCUCAUCUAGAGUGUGCCCCCCAAAAUAAACAAAAAAUAAUAAUAAAAUAAAGUGUGCCCUAGUCAUCUUCUCAAACCAAUGAGAGUUUGCCUCUCAUUUUUCUUGUAGCCCUAUAGUUUCAAAAUACUGUUUACUUUGUGUGUGAAGGUGGAGGAAACAGGCACUUCCAGGAU